rnacentral:rRNA from 1 species
AUGGUGGAGAGCCGCAGCACCAUCGCCUUCUUCGGGACCUUCAGGCCAGCGGUGGCGCUGGACCUCUUCUCAGUCCCAGUGAACCCGACGACAUCGUCUGCACCGGACGAGCAGCGCCUCACCGACGGUAAGUCGUACAACCAAAACGGCCAGGCCAUCACGCCCGCGGCUCUCAAGGAGCUCCUGGCCAGGAACAGCCCCGCGCUGGCCGGCGUUGCCACUCCGGAUGACGUGGACAAGGGCCGUGUCACCGGCAUCGUCUUUGUCUCCGAGAGGGACAACGGCCUGGAGACGCUCCAUGUGGCCCUGUGCGCCGCAGGCAAGACCACGGUGGUGUCGCUUGCCGACAUCUACGGCACCGACACCUUCGGUGGGGUCCGAAUGGAGGACAGCGGCUGCUUGGCCGGUGGCUUCGAGGUGGGCGGUCGCACCGUCGGGCACUCGCUGGUGUACGUGUCCACCAAGCAGCCGGCGGCGGCACGGCGCACUCCGUGGACCGUGGUGUACAAGACCAACCUUGCCGACGGCAGGACGGAGCGCCUCACUCCGCCGGAUCAAUACGACCUGAACCCGGCCGUGUCGCCGUCCGGGAAGAGGGUGGCGGUGGCCAACUUCCGGUUCAACCAGUGGACCGGCGAGAUCGGCCGACUCAAGACGGAUAUCGUGGUGAUGAACGUGGACCGGCAGGCGCAGGGUGGGCUUGGGCGCAGCGUCCUCAUCAAGGACGGCGGGUGGCCGACGUGGGGCAGCGACACCGUCAUCUUCUUCCACCGAGGGGUGGAUACCAUAGACAAAGCCAGUGGGAGGACCAAUACUGCCUGGGGCGUGUACCGGUACGACCUCACCACCAAGGACGACCCCGUCAAGGUGACCCCUGACGGCAUCCAAGCCAUGACUCCGGCGGCCAUCAGCGAGACCAAGGUGGCGGUGGCCGUCACCCGGGAGGGUACCCGGAUAGCGAUAGCGGUCGUGGAUCGCGAUAAAAAGGAACAGUACCGCCACAUCGAGAUCUAUGACUAUGAGGUCGGUAAGCUUGCCAGCCCGGUGAUAAUCACCCAUAGCACGGUGCUCAAUGGGUUUGCAGAUCACUACAGCCCGUUCGUGCUAGACGGGGGCACCCGUGUCGGUUUCCACCGCUGCAUAACCGACAAGGAGAAUACUGCCGCUCCGGAGAACUUCAGCAAGCUGCAGAGCCCGCCGACGCAAAAGGACGUCGGGAUCUACCGGAUGGCCGGCGUGUUCCCGAGCAUCAACAAGGCGGGCACCAAGAUCACCUACGUGGACAACGAGUUCAAAACCGUGUGGGUCGCUGACGAAAAGCACGGGCCGCGAGAAGCCCAUAAGAACAAGGACAGCAACAAAAUCUUGUCCACUACGUGGAACCAAGGCACGGACAAGGACACGGGCGAGGAAAAGGACAUCGUCUACUUCUGCGUGGGCACGGCCUUCAGCACCGACUGCAUAGAGAUCUGUGCCCUCGAGGGUGCCUCCGAGCUAGAGCACAAUGACAGGAGAAUGAAGACCCUCACCAACGGCAAGUACAACAACGCCUUCCCGUCGAGCAACAAGGAUGGGACCAAGUUGGUGUUCCGGUCGACGCGCAACAGAAUGGGUAAGCCUGAGGACGUCAAGUACAAGAACCUCUACAUCAUGGAGGACGCGGACGAAGGGGAGUGGGGUUCAGGCACGGUGACGCAGCUCACCGACGGGCCCUGGACCGACAGCCACUGCACCUGGUCGCCCACCGAUGACUGGAUCGUCUUCUCCUCCUCCCGCGACAGGGCGCCCGGCGCGCCGGACAGGGACAUCCUCGAUGCCGGCUUUUUCUCUAUCUUCCUCGUCCUAGCCACCGACCCCAGUGUGUUGGUGCGGGUCAUGCACAGCGCCGACUCCCUGGCCGGCCAUGUCUGUCACCCCGUCUUCAGCCCCUUCAAGGACAGCAUCGUCGUCACCUCCGACAUCGCCGGCGUCUCCGCCGACCCGGUCUCUUUGCCCAUCUUCAUCCACUCCGUCAGGCCCUACGGUGACAUCUUCACCAUCAACCUCCGCGACAAAAAUGACAUCAUGAAGAACAAGGAUAUCAUGGAGUUCGACCGCAUCACGCACACCCGCUACGAGUACUCUACGCCCACCUGGACCAAGGAUUUGGGUGACGACCUCAACAACAAGUGGAAAACCGCCGGUAGAGGUGCGGCGGAGUGCCCCGCCGGGCGGUGCUAG